UCCGUAGGUGAACCUGCGGAAGGAUCAUUACAAGAAACGAGGCCGCGUGCGUGCGCUCGCCCGCCCGGCCCCGCUCCUUACCUUGCCUACUGCACCGUUUGUUGCUUCCUGGCGGCGGACUGCCCGCCGCCAGGGACGUUGAUACAACCCUGUAUAGAAGCAUUGAAGCUCUGAGAAAACGCGAAAUCGUACAACUUUCAACAAUGGAUCUCUUGGUUCUGGCAUCGAUGAAGAACGCAGCGAAAUGCGAUAAGUAGUGUGAAUUGCAGAAUUCAGUGAAUCAUCGAAUCUUUGAACGCACAUUGCGCCCCUUGGCAUUCCAUGGGGCAUGCCUGUUCGAGCGUCAUCUAAACCCUCAAGCCCCCGGCUUGGUGUUGGGUGCCUGUCCCCGCUCCCCGCGCGGACUCACCCCAAAUGCAUUGGCAGCCGCCUCUCGGCUUCUUGCGCAGCACAGUGCGCAGCGAGGCGAGGUGAGGCGUGCGUCCAGCAAGCAACCACCCAAGUUUGACCUCGGAUCAGGUAGGGAUACCCGCUGAACUUAAGCAUAUCAAUAAGCGGAGGA
rnacentral:rRNA from 1 species